ACAGGGUCAGCCAUAGUAGUAUGAUAGGUGUUGUUUUACAGGGUCAGCCAUAGUAGUAUGAUAGGUGUUGUUUUACAGGGUCAGUCAUAGUAGUAUGAUAGGUGCAGUGUAAUGUGUUGUUUUACAGGGUCAGCCAUAGUAGUAUGAUAGGUGUUGUUUUACAGGGUCAGUCAUAGUAGUAUGAUUGGUGCAGUGUAAUGUGUUGUUUUACAGGGUCAGCCAUAGUAGUAUGAUAGGUGCAGUGUAAUGUGUUGUUUUACAGGGUCAGCCAUAGUAGUAUGAUAGGUGUUGUUUUACAGGGUCAGGCAUAGUAGUAUGAUUGGUGUUGUUUUACAGGGUCAGCCAUAGUAGUAUGAUAGGUGUUGUUGUACAGGGUCAGUCAUAGUAUUAUGAUAGGUGUUGUUUUACAGGGUCAGGCAUAGUAGUAUGAUUGGUGCAGUGUAAUGUGUUGUUUUAC